rnacentral:rRNA from 1 species
GUGGGGAAUAUUGGACAAUGGGCGAAAGCCUGAUCCAGCCAUGCCGCGUGUGUGAAGAAGGUCUUCGGAUUGUAAAGCACUUUAAGUUGGGAGGAAGGGCAGUAAGUUAAUACCUUGCUGUUUUGACGUUACCGACAGAAUAAGCACCGGCUAACUUCGUGCCAGCAGCCGCGGUAAUACGAAGGGUGCAAGCGUUAAUCGGAAUUACUGGGCGUGAAGCGCGCGUAGGUGGUUUUGUAAGUUGGAGGUGAAAUCCCCGGGCUCAACCUGGGAACUGCCUCCAAAACUGCAUGACUAGAGUACGGUAGAGGGUAGUGGAAUUUCCUGUGUAGCGGUGAAAUGCGUAGAUAUAGGAAGGAACACCAGUGGCGAAGGCGACUACCUGGACUGAUACUGACACUGAGGUGCGAAAGCGUGGGGAGCAAACAGGAUUAGAAACCCGAGUAGUCC